CCUCCCCAGGCUGUUGUGCUUUCUGUUUGAGUUCAGAUGCCAGUUCUACACUAAGACACCUUGAGGGGAUAGAAACAAGUCCUCGUUCCCUUAGCUGCAUGCAGUAGGUGGAAGUAGGUAUGAGGGCUGAUUUCUAUGAGCUGAUGAAGGCACUGUUCCCAAAGGUCUGCACAGGUUCACCAAGCGGAUUCAGCUUAUCUGAUAUCCCACGACCUCAAGAGCUUCAAUUUAAUCAUCACAACCAGUGGAACUGGUUGGUGUUUAACCUUGAGCCCAGAGUAACGCACAGAAGAUGAUGAUGAUAUCUGUCUUCACAAAAGGCAAGCUUGUCAGAACUACUACUAUAUCUGCAGUUUCUCACAAUAACCAGCCCCAAAUAUGCAAACUAUACUUGGGGUAUUAUAUUUUGGUCUCCUAUGAUCAUAUUUAAGGGUGAUGGGUCCUGAGCAUGAGUAACUGAGCACUGUGGAGAAAAAGAAUUGGCGGACCACUGCGCACAGAAAAGCUUGGUCUUUGUUGUAUUAAGAAACUACCUUCUGUGGGGCAGGGUGCUGAUUUAUAAAAAUAAUCCGGUGGAUUUACAAAGUGCACACAAGAGCACACACAGACUUGCAUAAAAAUGGACUUAGUCAGCUUGAGUGGUAUGUGGCCACCAACAGUGACUGAAGCAGAUGCACAGUCCUCAACAGUGACUGAACUCACCACUUAGUUUUUCUCUUUGGGAUUGCUUGCUCACAGUAAAGUUGUCCAGUUUAUUGAUAGCCAACAGAGGGUUCCAACAAAGAACCGCUCUUGUUUUUACAGCUGGGUGACUCCUGACAUAAAUAUUGUGAGAAAUUUCCGUGUCAGCACAGAGCAACUUCUAAGAUACAUUAACAAGAAGAAAUAAAAGGUACAGAGGUUUGUGCCAAAUUCCUUCUUCUCUAUGUAGGAAAAGAUGAAGAGCAAAAGGUGUGUUCAUAUCUGCUUAUAUUUUCACAAAGAAACCCCAGAUAGGCCGUGUGAAUCUUUAAACAAGUGGUAACCAGGGUACAUAUCAGAAGAGGUAAUGAAAGUGAGGCUCCAGGCUGGCUGUGGCUUCCCCAACUCAUGUUGAAAGUUACUUGCCAUUUAAAGAAUAUGAGGUGAGACUUUUAGGGUGCGGUGAUGUCAUGGGAGUCAGUAGAGGUUGUUACUGUGGGAGUUAGUUACAGUCCAGUGUACUCCUGAUAAAAGAGAAAGAAAGAGAGAUCUUGACUCCUCUUCUGCUGCAUAUACUGAUUUGUCCCUUCUGCUACGUCCUGACAUAGCAGAAGUCGCCACCAGAAGCUGAUACUGUGUUCUCGACUUUCCCAGCCACCAGAGACAUGAGCCACAUAAUUUAUUAUUCUUUUGGUAUGCUAGUUUUUUUUUUUUUUUUUACUUUUUUUAUUUGUGACUGAGUCUCAAUCUGUAGCACAGGCUAUUUUGGAACUUGCUAGGUAGCCAAAAUUAACUUGUAACUUACAGCAAUCCUCCUGCCUCAGCCAUUUGAGUGAUGAGAUUACAAGCAUGGUAUUCUUCUACAGUCACAGACAAGGAACUGAGAUAGAUGAAAUGUGUUUUUACAAUGGUUUUUGUCUUUUGACUGUAUGUGCAUUUUAGCUUUCCAAAAAUAACAUUGAAGAUCACCAGAUGUAAUCUAAGCAAAUCUAUUUGUUUAUACCAUACAAUAACAACGGGCUAUUGAAAACCAGCUUUCGCUUCCUGUCACUUGGCAAGCUUGUAAACACCCACUGUUGAGAGUUCAGAGACCUGCAGCAGAGUAGAUUCUCUCUGGAUCGCGUGUGAUCUCUUCCUGAUAUUCACAACACAGUGACAGCUGCUGCCUUCCUCUCGGGAUUCCAGCUUUUGCUGCCACCCCAGAGCACAGCAGAAAAGAGGCCCAGUCCAGAGCACAGCAGAGAAGAGGUGAUGCAGACACCUCUUCCAAGGCUGUUUGACUUCCCAAACAGGGCCACCAACUGUGGAGCAAGUGUCCGAAUACCUGAGCUAUGGGGGACGUCUCUCAUCUAAACCACCAUAAUUAUCAGUCCGUGUAAUUGGAAGUGACACUCAACCAAAGCACCAAUAUGGUUAAUGAUUUUGAAGUUCAAGAGGAUUUUCUGCUGUUACAUGUCUUACAAGUCAUGUUACACACACAUUAUGGCAUUGGAACAAAUCUGGCAGGUCUGGAUGCAAAUUUUUGUGCCCCUAGAACCGAUGGCUUGAAACAAGUUCUCUAAGAACACUCGACUUCAUGCAAACUGCUUGCUAAGACUGAAUGUAAAAUCUGAAGUGUACAAUUAGGCAAUGACAUUUGUUAUUUGCUCAGGCACUAUAAUUUGCAGUAGAAAGCCCAAACCUCUGUGCUCUGUGAUCUGUAUGUAUU